GCCUGCUUUCUCCUGGCUGCCAGUGGGUUACAGGAUGACCUGGGCCACCAAAAGGACUUAGUCCUUAUGAGCAGGUAAAGGAGGAGGACCACCCUACUGUUUUCCUGCGUCUCACUCUGAAUGGAGUGAUCAUCUAUCAGGAGGAAGACUACACUCCACAGUGGCUCUGUGACUUCCCCAGGAUACAUAUUUAAAG